ACGAACGCUGGCGGCGUGGGAUAAGACAUGCAAGUCGAACGAAGCUAAUUUUGUAGCAAUACGAGAUUAGUUCAGUGGCGUAAGGGGUGCGUAACACGUGUAGUCAUCUGCCGGGAAGUGGGGGAUAGCUCGCCGAAAGGCGAAUUAAUACCGCAUGUGGUCGCAAGACCAAAGCAGCAAUGCGCUUCCUGAUGAGCUCGCGGCCUAUCAGCUAGUUGGCGGGGUAAAGGCCCACCAAGGCUAUGACGGGUAGCUGGUCUGAGAGGACGACCAGCCACACUGGAACUGAGACACGGUCCAGACACCUACGGGUGGCAGCAGUCGAGAAUUUUUCCUCAAUGGGGGGAACCCUGAAGGAGCGGACGCCGCGUGGAGGAUGAAGGUCUUCGGAUUGUAAACUCCUGUCGUCUGGGAACAAAGCCGCAAGGUGUGAUAGUACCAGAAGAGGAAGAGACGGCUAACUCUGUGCCAGCAAGCCGCGGGGUAUACAGAGGUCUCAAGCGUUGUUCGGAUUCAUGGGCGUAAAGGGUGCGUAGGCGGCAUAGUAAGUCGGAUGUGAAAAUCUUGGGGCUCAACCCCAAAACUGCAUUCGAUACUGCUGUGCUUGAAGACUGAAGAGGAGAUUGGAAUUCACGGUGUGUAGCAGUGAAAUGCGUAGAUAUCGUGAGGAAGACCAGUGGCGAAGGCGAAUCUCUGGGCAGAUCUUGACGCUGAUGCACGAAGGCCAGGGGAGCAAACGGGAUUAGAUACCCCGGUAGUCCUGGCAAGUAAACGGUUGGCACGUUUGGUGUAGGAGGAUUCGACCCCUUCUGUGCCGGAGCUAACGCGUUAAACGUGCCGCCUGGGAAGGUACGGUCGCAAGAUUAAAACUCAAAGAAAUUGACGGGGGCCCGCACAAGCGGUGGGAGUAUGUGGCUUAAUUCGAUGCAACGCGAAGAACCUUACCAAGCCUUGACAUGCAUUUCUAAGUCGGGUGAAAAGCCGGCGAGUGUAGCAAUACACAACUUGCACAGGUGCUGCAUGGCUGUCGUCAGCUCGUGUCGUGGGAUGUUGGGUUAAGUCCCGCAACGAGCGCAACCCUUGUGAACUGUUGCAAACCGGAUUCGUCCGGUUGCACUCUGUUCAGACUGCCCUGUGAAACGGGGAGGAAUGUGAGGAUGACGUCAAGUCAGGAUGGCCCUUACGGCUUGGGCUGCACACGUACUACAAUGCCCAGUACAGAAGGAACCAAAUCCGCGAGGUGGAGGAAAUCACUAAAACUGGGCCCAAUUCGGAUUGGAGGCUGCAAUUCGCCUCCAUGAAGCCGGAAUCGCUAGUAAUGGCGCAUCAGCUACGGCGCCGUGGAAUACGUUCCCGGCCUUGUACACACCGCCCGUCACAUCAUGGGAGUCACUUGCACCCGAAGCCGGUGCGCUAACCGCAAGGAAGCAGCCGUCUAAGGUAUG
rnacentral:rRNA from 1 species